rnacentral:lncRNA from 1 species
AAAAUAUUCACAAAAUCAAUUAAAUCAUGAAAAAUAUUAAUAAUGAUCCAAAAAUUAAUUUUAAUUCAAAAUAUGAAAGAGGAAUUUAUUUAAAUUUUUUUGGUGAAACUCUCAUAUUUUUUUGAUCAAUAUUAAAAUUAAUAUGAAUAAAUGAAAAUCAAAUGAAUUAAAACACAAAAAAAACAAAAAAAAACGUGAG